rnacentral:lncRNA from 1 species
AUUUCACAGCUUACUAAUCACUGAAGCAGAAGAGCUGUGUCCUGGAGACUGCAGGUGCCCAACCUGGCCUGCCUCUGCCUGGCUGGAGCCUCCUGCAGCCAGGUGCACAGGACAUCCUGGUCAUUUGGGUGAAGCAUGCCCAGCUCAGUCACUGCCUGAGGCCUCGCCUUGGUCCCAUGUGCAAUCCCAGCUCCAUCACCUUGGUCCUGCCCCAGCGCCAUGUGCAAAGCCAACCUCCAUCUUUCUGCGUAUCCAGACCCCCUGCUGCUGCCUGUGUUCUGCAUGGAGAAGCCUUCACAGAAGGUAGGACGGUGAGCGAGAAGCCCAUGACGCUGGCAUGGUGGUUCCGGCGGCCCUGUGAAUUCAGUGGGUAUCACUUCCAUUGCCCAGGAGCAAUGCCCUCACCGCAGAAACC